rnacentral:rRNA from 1 species
CGUGUAGGCGGCUUUUUAAGUCUGGAGUGAAAGUCCUGCUUUCAAGGUGGGAAUUGCUUUGGAGACUGGAGAGCUUGAGUGCGGAAGAGGUAAGUGGAAUUCCCAGUGUAGCGGUGAAAUGCGUAGAGAUUGGGAGGAGCACCAGUGGCGAAGGCGACUUACUGGGCCGUAACUGACGCUGAGGCGCGAAAGCGUGGGGAGCGAACA